rnacentral:tRNA from 1 species
GUAGUGGUAGCUCAGUGGUAGAAUCCUCGCCUUCCAUGCGAGGCACCCAGGUUCAAUUCUCGGCCAAUGUA